GGCGCUAUAGUGUAGUGGUUAUCACUUGGGAUUCUGAUUGUCUGAUUGGUGUUCCCAAAACCCAGGUUCGAGCCCUGGUAGCGCCU